rnacentral:tRNA from 2 species
GGACCCGUAGCUCAGCUGGAUAGAGCAUUUGACUACGAAUCAAAAGGUCGGGCGUUCGAAUCGCUCCGGGUCCUCCA